ensembl:lncRNA
GGGAGAGAAUGUGUCGCGGGAGACUAGACGAGAGCGUCAGGCUUUGAGGCUGAGGUAAUGGCGUGUGUGUGCUGGCACUACAUCUCCUUGUGUGUAUUUACACAGCCGGUCAUGCCUUAUGUCACAGCUACUCCACUUCCAGACCACCUUGCUAAUUGAAAUAAGGCUUCUCUGAGCCACCCUGUCAGUCCACAAGCAUAUGUGAACCAUCAGUGUGUUCGCUUCCCUCUCUCUCCCUGUCCACCUCACUCAGACCUCUGGCUGUGGCGUGUGUGUGAUCUGGGCAUGGGCUCUGUGUGUGUGUGUGCACACAUUCAACUCUACUUUUUUGUGGAGCUGUGUGGCUAAUCCACUGACAGCAUUGAUCUGGAUGAUCAGAGGAUCUGGAGUUGAUUGAGAGGGUCUAAGAAGGUGGUGUUGGUUGAGAAAAUAUAUUUCAGUUAUAGAUUGAAAGACGAUAGUGUAUUCUUAGACUAUACUCAUGAAGGUCUGUGAAUCUGGUAUGGAUUAAGAGGGUCUGUGUCUGUAGUAUUUAAGGAUCUGUGUCUGGUAUAGAUUGAGGUUCAGUGUAGUAAGUGUUCUGGACUUGUUUAGCACCCCCUAGAGGCAGUUUAAGUACAGCAGCUAGAAUUGACCUGUUUGUGUCAUGUGACAGGAAGCCGUUUCAGAAGUGAAGUAAUGUGUAAGAUUUGCAGGUGUGACAGAGUAGUUACAGUCCUUCAACAUAAGCUUUGUAAGAUGCAAUGUGUUUUCAGACUUUGAUUCAAGUAAACUUCCAAAAUGGCACCAUGCUUCUCACAGAGGAUGCCGGUGGGCGGAGUUGGGAGGGUCGUCAGCUACAUGGGAAACACCUGGGCCAGGUGUCUCCCAGGAUAAAUACACCACUUCCCCAUUCAUGGAGGAGACACUCUCCAUGCAGACACCUUUAUGGAUUUUGUUGUGUUUCUUGGUGGUUUUUGGGUUGUUUGCGACAACAUCUUUCAACACCCUGCAUUAUCACAUUCAUGCAUGCAAAACACUCACUUACACUACUGAUUACUGAUUACACACACCAUUGUAUAUUUUCCUUAGUUGCUUUAGUUAAUAAAUAUAUCUUUUGUUACUCCUUAUCUCCACGUUGUCUCCCUUUUGUUACGGGCUUUGAGCCGGUUCGUGACAC